AGCGAACGCUGGCGGCAGGCUUAACACAUGCAAGUCGAGCGGGCCCUUCGGGGUCAGCGGCAGACGGGUGAGUAACGCGUGGGAACGUGCCCUUCGGUUCGGAAUAACUCAGGGAAACUUGAGCUAAUACCGGAUACGCCCUUAUGGGGAAUGGUUUACUGCCGAAGGAUCGGCCCGCGUCUGAUUAGCUAGUUGGUGAGGUUAUGGCUCACCAAGGCGACGAUCAGUAGCUGGUCUGAGAGGAUGAUCAGCCACACUGGGACUGAGACACGGCCCAGACUCCUACGGGAGGCAGCAGUGGGGAAUAUUGGACAAUGGGGGCAACCCUGAUCCAGCCAUGCCGCGUGAGUGAUGACGGCCUUAGGGUUGUAAAGCUCUUUUCUCCGGGACGAUAAUGACGGUACCGGAGGAAUAAGCCCCGGCUAACUUCGU
rnacentral:rRNA from 1 species